CGAGGAUGCAUAUGUUUGGGGGUGCUGCUGUGCAAGCAAUAACCUGCUUGGUAUCAACAUCACAUCUUUACAGUCAGCCUUUGACAGCCAGGCAGGGACUCAAAGGCUAAUCCAACGCAUCACCUAAUUUGUGGUUUUGCAUCUGCCUCCACCCUGACUCUUUUUUAACCUUCUCCUUCGCCCCAUAUACAUGUAUAUGGAAUUUAGCAGAGCAGUGUCCAUGUCCUCUGAGGAGAAUCCUGCUGCCUGGAUUCAUCUCAGCCCAGUAAAGGGUUACCAGGAAACCAAAGAGAAUGGCACAACCUGUUUGCUGAUUAAGGAGGCAAGUUCAGAGUGUCAUGUGAAGCGGACUACAGCCCAAGUUGGGUGUGCCAACCAUUUAUUCCUGGGAUGUAACUGGCAGCUGAGGAAGAUCACUUUGGCAAGCCUGUGCCAAGGGGUCAUAUAAUUACACAAGGAGAAACCUUACUCCAAGACAAAGUUCAGGAAGAGUUAAAAGGAAUACCUCAAUCAAGCAGAGGUCAGCAAAUGUUUUCUGUAAAGGACGAAAUAAAUACUUUAGGGUUUGUAGCCACAUAAGGUCUGUCACAUUAAUCUUGUGUGUGUGUGUAUGUGUGUAUACAGUGCCUUAAAAAUGCAUAAAACAUUCUCAG
rnacentral:lncRNA from 1 species